UGCGUAGGGGGCAAGCGUUGUCCGGAAUUAUUGGGCGUAAAGAGCUCGUAGGCGGUUUGUCGCGUCGACUGUGAAAACCUACAGCUUAACUGUGGGCUUGCAGUCGAUACGGGCAGACUUGAGUUCGGUAGGGGAGACUGGAAUUCCUGGUGUAGCGGUGAAAUGCGCAGAUAUCAGGAGGAACACCGGUGGCGAAGGCGGGUCUCUGGGCCGAUACUGACGCUGAGGAGCGAAAGCGUGGGGAGCGAACAGG
rnacentral:rRNA from 1 species